rnacentral:rRNA from 1 species
GACGAACGUUGGCGGCGUGCUUAACACAUGCAAGUCGAACGGAAAGGCCCUGCUUUUGUGGGGUGCUCGAGUGGCGAACGGGUGAGUAACACGUGAGUAACCUGCCCUCGACUUUGGGAUAACUUCAGGAAACUGGGGCUAAUACCGGAUAGGAGCUCCUGCUGCAUGGUGGGGGUUGGAAAGUUUCGGCGGUUGGGGAUGGACUCGCGGCUUAUCAGCUUGUUGGUGGGGUAGUGGCUUACCAAGGCUUUGACGGGUAGCCGGCCUGAGAGGGUGACCGGCCACAUUGGGACUGAGAUACGGCCCAGACUCCUACGGGAGGCAGCAGUGGGGAAUAUUGCACAAUGGGCGGAAGCCUGAUGCAGCAACGCCGCGUGCGGGAUGACGGCCUUCGGGUUGUAAACCGCUUUCGCCUGUGACGAAGCGUGAGUGACGGUAAUGGGUAAAGAAGCACCGGCUAACUACGUGCCAGCAGCCGCGGUGAUACGUAGGGUGCGAGCGUUGUCCGGAUUUAUUGGGCGUAAAGGGCUCGUAGGUGGUUGAUCGCGUCGGAAGUGUAAUCUUGGGGCUUAACCCUGAGCGUGCUUUCGAUACGGGUUGACUUGAGGAAGGUAGGGGAGAAAUGGAAUUCCUGGUGGAGCGGUGGAAUGCGCAGAUAUCAGGAGGAACACCAGUGGCGAAGGCGGUUCUCUGGGCCUUUCCUGACGCUGAGGAGCGAAAGCGUGGGGAGCGAACAGGCUUAGAUACCCUGGUAGUCCACGCUGUAAACGGUGGGUACUAGGUGUGGGGUCCAUUCCACGGGUUCCGUGCCGUAGCUAACGCUUUAAGUACCCCGCCUGGGGAGUACGGCCGCAAGGCUAAAACUCAAAGGAAUUGACGGGGCCCCGCACAAGCGGCGGAGCAUGCGGAUUAAUUCGAUGCAACGCGUAGAACCUUACCUGGGUUUGACAUGGAUCGGGAGUGCUCAGAGAUGGGUGUGCCUCUUUUGGGGUCGGUUCACAGGUGGUGCAUGGCUGUCGUCAGCUCGUGUCGUGAGAUGUUGGGUUAAGUCCCGCAACGAGCGCAACCCUUGUUCACUGUUGCCAGCACGUUAUGGUGGGGACUCAGUGGAGACCGCCGGGGUCAACUCGGAGGAAGGUGGGGAUGACGUCAAGUCAUCAUGCCCCUUAUGUCCAGGGCUUCACGCAUGCUACAAUGGCUGGUACAGAGAGUGGCGAGCCUGUGAGGGUGAGCGAAUCUCGGAAAGCCGGUCUCAAUUCGGAUUGGGGUCUGCGACUCGACCUCAUGAAGUCGGAGUCGCUAGUAAUCGCAGAUCAGCAACGCUGCGGUGAAUACGUUCCCGGGGCU